AGAGAGAGAGAUUAUCAUCAUCGGACGUGAGAAGUUUGGAAGGGUAAUUUUCGCCCUAUGAAAUUUCGAUAAUUUCUAAUUGGACGACCAUCUAUCAUUCUCGUUACGCCGCGCUUCAGGCACUCGACGUAUGCCCGUUUCAGAGAAGCCUUGUCCAUUAUUAUUGGGACAUUUGAUUUAGCAUUGAUAAUUUAGGAUUGACCUAAAUAUUUGAUGGGAAUUUGCGCAAUUUAAGCUAAUAUCAAAUCGUAUGGAAAUUAUAUGCUGACCAAGCAUUAUUUAGCAUACCUAGCAUACGAAAGUAUAUUGCAUCUAAUUAACGUUUUAAAAUCAUUUUUAAAUGAUAAUUAAUUUAUCCACUUCUGCUCUUUGCUUUA